CCUAGUAGGGCUGUGCCUGGUUAGUACUUGGACUGGAGACCAACUUGGAAGGCCAGGGCCUGCUAGCC
rnacentral:rRNA from 12 species